CAUGAUCUGAGUGAACAAGAGAGAGCGAGAGAUGUCUCCAAUAACAAUGCCUGCAACUCCCACCACCUGGGCUUCAAAACAGGAGGCACACAUGACAUCACUUCCUUCCUCACCUGUAGCAAGAGCAGCUGUGUCCAUACCAAAAACACUAUCAGUGAAACAAAUCCACUACUACCUCUCCCUACCUGAAGUGGAGAUUACGGAAUUCAGGGAGAGCAAACAACAAGAAUGUGACACUGUCCGGACGCUGGUGGAAGAGUUGAGGCUUUUCCAGGAGGAGAGCCGUGCUUUAAUAUUAACAGUUAAAACAGAAGUUAAGACAGAACACUGAACAAAUGAUGUCCUCCAAGAGGAGCUGUGUGUAGUGAAGGUGGAGCUGAAGCAGAGAGAGAGAGAGGGACAUGAUGUCCUCCAAGAGGAGCUGUGUGUAGUGAAGGUGGAGCUGAAGCAGAGAGAGAGAGAGGGACAUGAUGUCCUCCGAGAGGAGCUGUGUGUAGUGAAGGUGGAGCUGAAGCAGAGAGAGAGAGAGGGACAUGAUGUCCUCCGAGAGGAGCUGUGUGUAGUGAAGGUGGAGCUGAAGCAGAGAGAGAGAGAGGGACAUGAUGUCCUCCGAGAGGAGCUGUGUGUAGUGAAGGUGGAGCUGAAGCAGAGAGAGAGAGGGACAUGAUGUCCUCCAAGAGGAGCUGUGUGUAGUGAAGGUGGAGCUGAAGCAGAGAGAGAGAGAGGGACAUGAUGUCCUCCGAGAGGAGCUGUGUGUAGUGAAGGUGGAGCUGAAGCAGAGAGAGAGAGGGACAUGAUGCCCUCCGCCAGCAGCUUCUGACCAACAGAGCCGCCCCAUCAGCCUGGUAGAAGCCCAGAUACCCCUGAGCCCAGUGCAGCCUUCACCCCAUCAGCCUGGUAGAAGCCCAGAUACCCCUGAGCCCAGUGCAGCCUUCACCCCCAUCAGCCUGGUAGAAGCCCAGAUACCCCUAGAUCCUGCCCUGACCUGCCAACCUCUCAGCCUGCCUUGACCUGCCAACCUCUCAGCCUGCCCUCACCUGCCAACCUCUCAGCCUGCCCUGACUUUCCAACCUCUCAGCCUGCCUUGACCUGCCAACCUCUCAGCCUGCCCUGACCUGCCAACUUCCCAGCAGUCUGACCAUGUUCAGCCGAACACACCUCCAGAGGACAGGGGACAGGAUCCAGUUCAACCCAGGAGACCUCCCAAAACUGCAGUUCUGAUAGACUGUAAUGGGAAGUAUCUGGAAGAUAAGAGACUGUUCCCCAGACACCAGACAGCUAAAUGUGGGUAUCCCACUACUGACAGUGCACUACAGCUGCUCUAUCAGGUCAAGCUGGAAAAUCCUGAUAACCUCAUCAUACAUACUGGGACAAAUGACCUGCACACAAAAGGAGAAAGAGUGGCUGAGGAAGCACACAGCCUGUUCCCAAUGACAAACAUUAGUAUAUCCACCUUUCUAGAAAGAUCUCAAAGUUUCUUAGAUUUUUACCAGACCUCAGAAGUCGUCCCCCGAUGCGGUUUAAGCAUUGUUGUGAGCACAGAAAAUCUAAUUUUGUUGUUUUUCUAUUAAAAAAAAACUGUUGAAAAAAAACUGUAAAGAAAACCAUUAAAAAUAAAUAAAAAUGAAUUAGCAGAAAAUAUAAGCAGAUUUAAAAUGGCCCUACCAAUGUUUCUUGCUGUGCAUGACUCCACAUUAGCAUGUCAUCCUGUAGCACAGUAUUUUGUUUGGACCAUCCUAGAAAUGUCAUAUUUGACAUUGGUGGUUAUGUCAGUUAUGCCACAUUUAUGAACCCUUUAUAGAGCAUUACAUACAGUUAUAGAUGACUUGUGACACAUUUAUGUGUUUUGAAGGCUUUAUGAAGCCUUUAUAAGCUGCAUGUAAUUUAAAGUGGGACCGAAAACGACAGUAACAUUUUGGAACCAUUUGAAAUUAAGCUCCAAAAUGUCCUUACAAUUCAAAGCACUGGAAACCCAAGAAAAACACUAAACAACACUACUAUCCAAACACACAGGGAAAUCAAUCAAAUUGUUACAGAAAUUAAAAUUUCUUAUUUGACAAAUUCGGAAAAUUCUACAAAAACGCAGAAUAAACUGAAUUGCUAUUUGGCCUUCGUAAGAGAAUACAAAUUGGCAGUGUCAUGACGUUGCCCUUUUUGGACACUGCGAGCACCAUCCCCCUACCUCUGCACCAUCUCCCUCUGUCUCCUACACCCAGGCUGCUGUGGUCAGAAGAGGUUGUAAAUUCCUAUGAGGAGAUCCUCUCCUCAUGGCCACAGUAUAGAGAGAGAGCGUUUUCAUAGAGAGACAAAGGAAUUUCUUCCACCUCACAGAACUGAAGAACCAAACGACAAUUUAUGUUCUGGAG
rnacentral:lncRNA from 1 species